UUUAACCAGAGUUGAUUUCUGUUGCUUGAAACUCAGGACCUUGAUGCAGUGUGCAGGGUCUGGGCAAGGAAAUUCAUAAAAGAAGAGAUACAGAUGGCCA
rnacentral:sRNA from 2 species